GUAUACUCUUGCCUGCCCUGAAACCUAGUGAAAGUCUGUAUCUCUGUUGUUUAUCUUCCACGUCUGUUUGUUGUCUGGCUUUUACUGUUUGUCUCGUGUGUCUUUCUAUAUUUGGACCCUUAAUAGUCCUCAUGGGUCAACAAACAUCUACCCCCCACCUAGAUUUGGUCUUGGCUCACGUCUCUAUCUUUCAGGCAGGAGCCCAAAAUCUCUACCAAGAAGCUAUCAGUUUAUAGAUCAGAUCUGCCAUCCUCCUCUGCUGCAGGGAGGAAGAGGGUUGAUUCUGAACAGAAAGACAACAGGUGAAAAGUUGUUCUUGAAAGUAGAAGACAAGGCAGAAAAAAUCCCAGAUGAAACUACACAACUUGAUAUCUUGAAUAUAAUCAAAAGGAGAAAAUCAUUGGUGGAGGCUAUCAUUUUCCAACAUUUCCAACAUUUCUAACAUUUAACCAAUAAAAAGUCUAGAACAGCCCCCA
rnacentral:lncRNA from 1 species